AAAGUUCAGUAAUUUUGUUUAGCAUAUGUGUUGGUACAGCGAAGGUUAGCAUGGCCCCUGUGCAAGGAUGACAGGCAGGCAGAUUUGUGAAGUGGUCCCUAUUUUU
ensembl:snRNA U6 U6 spliceosomal RNA